GACGAACGCUGGCGGCGUGCUUAACACAUGCAAGUCGAACGAAGAGCGAUGGAAGCUUGCUUCUAUCAAUCUUAGUGGCGAACGGGUGAGUAACGCGUAAUCAACCUGCCCUUCAGAGGGGGACAACAGUUGGAAACGACUGCUAAUACCGCAUACGAUCUAAUCUCGGCAUCGAGGAUGGAUGAAAGGUGGCCUCUAUUUAUAAGCUAUCACUGAAGGAGGGGAUUGCGUCUGAUUAGCUAGUUGGAGGGGUAACGGCCCACCAAGGCGAUGAUCAGUAGCCGGUCUGAGAGGAUGAACGGCCACAUUGGGACUGAGACACGGCCCAGACUCCUACGGGAGGCAGCAGUGGGGAAUCUUCCGCAAUGGACGAAAGUCUGACGGAGCAACGCCGCGUGAGUGAUGACGGCCUUCGGGUUGUAAAGCUCUGUUAAUCGGGACGAAAGGCCUUCUUGCGAAUAGUUAGAA
rnacentral:rRNA from 1 species